GACGAACGCUGGCGGCGUGCUUAACACAUGCAAGUCGAACGGAAAGGCCCUGCUUUUGUGGGGUGCUCGAGUGGCGAACGGGUGAGUAACACGUGAGUAACCUGCCCUUGACUUUGGGAUAACUUCAGGAAACUGGGGCUAAUACCGGAUAGGAGCUCCUGCUGCAUGGUGGGGGUUGGAAAGUUUCGGCGGUUGGGGACGGACUCGCGGCUUAUCAGCUUGUUGGUGGGGUAGUGGCUUACCAAGGCUUUGACGGGUAGCCGGCCUGAGAGGGUGACCGGCCACAUUGGGACUGAGAUACGGCCCAGACUCCUACGGGAGGCAGCAGUGGGGAAUAUUGCACAAUGGGCGGAAGCCUGAUGCAGCAACGCCGCGUGCGGGAUGAUGGCCUUCGGGUUGUAAACCGCUUUCGCCUGUGACGAAGCGUGAGUGACGGUAAUGGGUAAAGAAGCACCGGCUAACUACGUG
rnacentral:rRNA from 1 species